GCUGCAACUCGCCUGCAUGAAGUCGGAAUUGCUAGUAAUCGCAGAUCAGCAUGCUGCGGUGAAUACGUUCCCGGGCCUUGUACACACCGCCCGUCACACCAUGGGAGUCGGUAACACCCGAAGUCGGUAGCCUAACCGUAAGGAGGGCGCCGCCGAAGGUGGGAUUGAUGACUGGGGUGAAGUCGUAACAAGGUACC
rnacentral:rRNA from 1 species